rnacentral:rRNA from 1 species
CCUACGGGAGGCAGCAGUGAGGAAUAUUGGUCAAUGGGCGGAAGCCUGAACCAGCCAAGUCGCGUGAGGGAAUAAGGCCCUACGGGUCGUAACCCUCUUUUGCCGGGGAGCAAAGGCCGGGACGCGUCCCGGCCGGGAGAGUACCCGGAGAAAAAGCAUCGGCGAAAUCCGGGCCAGCAGCCGCGGUAAUACGUAGGAUCCGGGCGUUAUCCGGAUUUAUUGGGUUUAAAGGGAGCGUAGGCGGGUUGUGAAGUCAGUUGUGAAAGUGUGCGGCUCAACCGUAAAAUUGCAGUUGAUACUGGCAUCCUUGAGUGCAGGAGAGGUAGGCGGAAUGCGUGGUGUAGCGGUGAAAUGCUUAGAUAUCACGAAGAACUCCGAUUGCGAAGGCAGCUUGCUGGACUGUAACUGACGCUGAUGCUCGAAAGUGUGGGUAUCAAACAGGAUUAGAUACCCUAGUAGUC